GACGAACGCUGGCGGCGUGUUUAACACAUGCAAGUCGAACGGAAAGGCCCUGCUUUUGUGGGGUGCUCGAGUGGCGAACGGGUGAGUAACACGUGAGUAACCUGCCCUUGACUUUGGGAUAACUUCAGGAAACUGGGGCUAAUACCGGAUAGGAGCUCCUGCUGCAUGGUGGGGGUUGGAAAGUUUCGGCGGUCGGGGAUGGACUCGCGGCUUAUCAGCUUGUUGGUGGGGUAGUGGCUUACCAAGGCUUUGACGGGUAGCCGGCCUGAGAGGGUGACCGGCCACAUUGGGACUGAGAUACGGCCCAGACUCCUACGGGAGGCAGCAGUGGGGAAUAUUGCACAAUGGGCGGAAGCCUGAUGCAGCAACGCCGCGUGCGGGAUGACGGCCUUCGGGUUGUAAACCGCUUUCGCCUGUGACGAAGCGUGAGUGACGGUAAUGGGUAAAGAAGCACCGGCUAACUACGUG
rnacentral:rRNA from 1 species